GCUUUCGUGGUGUAGUGGUCAGCAUGCUGGGCGCGUAUUCCAGAGGUUCAUGGUUCGAAUCCUGGCCAAAACG
rnacentral:tRNA from 1 species